AAAUGUGUUGUCAUUCUGAUUAAGUGGUUCUCAACAGUUCAACAGUUCUUUGAGAAAAUUGUGAAAUGUUUAGGACCACUUGACCAGUCAGACAAAUGCUACCGUCUUU